UAUCUGGUUGAUCCUGCCAGUAGUCAUAUGCUUGUCUCAAAGAUUAAGCCAUGCAUGUCUAAGUACAAACCUUAAUACGGUGAAACCGCGAAUGGCUCAUUAAAUCAGCUAUGGUUCCUUAGAUCGUCUCAUCCUACUCGGAUAACUGUGGAAAAUCUAGAGCUAAUACGUGCUUACAAGCCCUGACCUCACGGA
rnacentral:ncRNA from 1 species